GACGAACGCUGGCGGCGUGCUUAACACAUGCAAGUCGAGCGGUAAGGCCCUUUCGGGGGUACACGAGCGGCGAACGGGUGAGUAACACGUGGGUGACCUGCCCUCAGCUCUGGGAUAAGCCCGGGAAACUGGGUCUAAUACCGGAUAUGACUUCAUGACGCAUGUUGUAGAGUGGAAAGCCUUGUGCGGCUGAGGAUGGGCCCGCGGCCUAUCAGCUUGGUUGGUGGGGUGANGGCCUACCGAGGCGACGACGGGUAGCCGGCCUGAGAGGGCGACCGGCCACAC
rnacentral:rRNA from 1 species